UACGUAGGUGGCAAGCGUUGUCCGGAUUUACUGGGCGUAAAGCGCGCGCAGGCGGGCUGGUCAGUCCGGGGUGAAAUCUCACGGCUCAACCGUGAGCGGUCCCCGGAUACUGCCAGUCUUGAGGUGUCUAGAGGAGAGCGGAAUUCCCGGUGUAGUGGUGGAAUGCGUAGAUAUCGGGAAGAACACCAGUGGCGAAAGCGGCUCUCUGGGGAACUCCUGACGCUGAGGCGCGAAAGCGUGGGGAGCGAACCGG
rnacentral:rRNA from 1 species